rnacentral:sRNA from 12 species
GCUCCACCGCUGCCACGGCACGGUGGGCCGACCUUACCUAGUGUGGUCAGCCAUGCCGUCCUGCUUCGGCAAACACCUUUGGGGGUUCAGAAAAACGACGAGUAGCCGGGCGCAAGCCCGUGUGAAAGUCGGGUCUGGC